GUCGAGCGAAUGGAUUAAGAGCUUGCUCUUAUGAAAGUUAGCGGCGGACGGGUGAGUAACACGUGGGUAACCUGCCCAUAAGACUGGGAUAACUCCGGGAAACCGGGGCUAAUACCGGAUAACAUUUUGAACCGCAUGGUUCGAAAUUGAAAGGCGGCUUCGGCUGUCACUUAUGGAUGGACCCGCGUCGCAUUAGCUAGUUGGUGAGGUAACGGCUCACCAAGGCAACGAUGCGUAGCCGACCUGAGAGGGUGAUCGGCCACACUGGGACUGAGACACGGCCCAGACUCCUACGGGAGGCAGCAGUAGGGAAUCUUCCGCAAUGGACGAAAGUCUGACGGAGCAACGCCGCGUGAGUGAUGAAGGCUUUCGGGUCGUAAAACUCUGUUGUUAGGGAAGAACAAGUGCUAGUUGAAUAAGCUGGCACCUUGACGGUACCUAACCAGAAAGCCACGGCUAACUACGUGCCAGCCGCCGCG
rnacentral:rRNA from 1 species